CCGCGAGGGGCUGGCCAGGCCUGGUGAGCUGGGGCCUCCGGCCGCUGCCGGCCUCGCCAGGGUGCUUGACCCGUCAUCUGGGUUUGGACCAAGCCGAGGGGCUACGGUUGGCUGAGUACUGUGGGGCCAGCACGGGGCCUACUAACCCGGGUCCUAGUGACCAGUGACUCACAGUCUGUUGCCUCAGAUCAGGGAAAUGGAAAAACCCCAGAGCGCUGAUAAAUAUUUCCCUCCUAACUCUCUAUUUAUGUCUCUAAAUGGCCUGAGAGGUGUUAAUGCCCUUCCACUCCGGCCACAUUCCUAGGGAAAGCAGCGUGUCCCUUCCUCCUGGGCCCCUGUGGUCACCUCCGGGGGGAGCUGGGAGUGCCCAGGGCUGUUUACACAGCUUUUGUAGGCCAAACAUGGUGACAUCGAUGAUGAUGGUAACUACAGCAGUGCCAUGGUGCCAGUGACGUGAUGCAUGGCCCGAUACUGCAUCCUCCUCCCAGCACACAGCGAAGGGCGCCAACCUCACUGAGAGCCGAGGAGAGAUUUCAGCUGCACUUCGACAUGGCUGGCUGCAUGUCUGGCAUCAGGUGUCGUCUAGCUUUCCCCCAAAAUCAAAAUGACCACGAGAGCCAAACGCUUUGAACCGAUUCAGGACAUGGAGGCAGCCAGGAAAGCACAACUAAAGACACGAAAGAGGACUCUAGAGCUGCUGCAGGAAGUGAGCCCCACUUUCGGUGGUGAAGGAAGCAUUCCUUGGCCGGGAGGGGUGACCCAGCACAGGCCUCUGAUGCGUCCCAGGACAAUGGGUCCUUGGCUUUUGGCUUCUCAGGCAGAGGUGGGGUCUGAGUCACAGGACUAGUGGCUCCAGAGCUCCAGGGCAGGUUCUGCCAGCCGAAGGUGGUUCACAUGAAAGCCACGGAUGAAAGCGAGCUCAUCAAGCGAGAUUUGCACUGAACUCUCCUUCACCCUCAUUUCUGGGGAAGAGGACAAAGGCCAGAUGUGCUUAUCUGUCUGCCACUGAGCACUCAGCCCGUGUGUGGUGAUGCCCAGCGGCCGGGCUGCGGGGGACUGUCCGCGGUGGUCGUCGCUCUCCGCAGACGCAGGCCUGAGGACGCCAGUGUCCUCCCUUGGUCCUGUGGGGCAGGCUCCGCACCCCUGUCCAGCCCAGAGGACAGGCUCUGCCCUUCAAUGAGUCGGGUUCUGGCAUCACCUGCUCUUUCUGGGGGAGCUGGCAGGAGUGUGGCUGGAAGGUCACUUCCCCUUUUCUGACAGUGACACAUUUGAAUAACAAUAAAGAGCUUCCCUUAAAAAUA